rnacentral:rRNA from 1 species
UACGUAGGGCGCAAGCGUUGUCCGGAAUUAUUGGGCGUAAAGAGCUCGUAGGCGGUCUGUCGCGUCGGCUGUGAAAACCCGAGGCUCAACCUCGGGCCUGCAGUCGAUACGGGCAGACUAGAGUGCUGUAGGGGAGACUGGAAUUCCUGGUGUAGCGGUGAAAUGCGCAGAUAUCAGGAGGAACACGGGUGGCGAAGGCGGGUCUCUGGGCAGUAACUGACGCUGAGGAGCGAAAGCGUGGGGAGCAAACAGG